UACGAAUCCGUGAUCAUCGGUAGUGGUGAAUAUCUAUCCAUGCUAAGAUAUUGAGAUUCGAUCUCAUACUUAUUUUUAAAUUUUAAGUUAUAUAUUUAUAUUUUUUUUGAGCUUGGAUAGGAUUAGAUUUAUUUUUAUACAUGUGGGGUUAAAGGGUUUAACCCAUUUGUUUUUCACUGUGUUCAAAAAUAUUUUGAAAUAUACAUAUGCUGCCUAUCUGAUUUUCUAACAGUGGUAUUAGAGCUACAGGUUUUUGAAAACACAUAUGAUCUGGUUUUUCUAUUA
rnacentral:lncRNA from 1 species